ACUAAUUAGGAAGAGAACGCAGGCCACCCAGAGGGUCACCUUUGCCCUGGGAAGUGGCUGCAACUCUGAAUCUGCAGAAGGAGGGAGUCAAGCUGAUUUAGAGGAGACCUGAGGUUGUUCAAGGUCUUUCAGUCUUGCAGACACAUUUAUCUACUAUACUUUAUUCAGAGUACAAGUACGCAUUACUUCCAAAUACUACUUCAAGCAAAGGGAAGAGAAAUACAGCAGCUGUUGGGAGGCUAUUCAAAUUUAAGGUCGACUCCAGCAAAAACUGCAAAGGAUGUGUGCGGGUCGCGGCUGACAGGACGGGCUUCGACGGCUGCGCCUUCCCCACAGCAUGAAGGAGGAAAUUCAAGACUUGGUCUUUUCUUCACUGCUUCGCUGGCUGCAGGGACCCUGCAUUUCUCUGCUUGUCCUGGGUCCAGCUUCCUUUAGCAGAAUGACUUCCUCAUCACCUUAGUCCACGUGGCAGAAAACACAGUCACACCUUGGUGUCCACCCCUCAAUUCCUAUCGCAAAGGCCUUGCGUCAGGAUCUUGGGAUUCUCACUGGUCCAGAGUGAGGCUGGUGCUUCCUAGUGUCUCAGAGGAUUCUGCCAUCAAAUCAAAACAAGCCGGAAAAGUUUCAUCAGAGCUGGCGCUGUGCGUUGAGGAUGCUGGACAGGUAGCUGCUAGGAUCACGACUGCAAGUGGCGAUCAUGGUGCAUAUCUGAGAAUGAAUACAAAUGAAGGCGAGACUCGAAAAGGGCUCCAGAAGGGGAGGAGAAGGCCUCAGAGAAGGGGACUAUCAAAAAUAAAGACUGGAGAUACGGCUUAAAGAGCUUCAUCGUUGUUCAUUUAGGAAGCUUACAGAGGGUCGGCGUCCAGAAAAGGUUGAGACCCUCUAGAGGUGCAGACCAUGCCUGCCUCAGCUGGGACCCUCACUGCUGAGUGAGCACACGGCAUCCAGAGCAGCAGGCACUCUGAGCGCUGAAUGAGGAAACUGAGCCUGGAGGACUAACUGACUUGCUCAAGGUCACUUGACUUCUAAGAGAAAGAACUGGGAUGGAACCAAGGCCUCUAGCAUCUCAGAAAAGAUGAGUAAUAUUUGUUGGCAAUAGGUGGACAUGAAGAUGCAGCCUGGAGGUUAAGGAUGAGGGCUCUUGAGCCAGCCAAGUCAGGUGUGAACCCUGGUUCUGUUGCUACUUGUGAGGCAAAGGCACAUUGCUUCUCUUCUUUGAGCCUCAGUUUUUUCAUCCCUUCAGUGGGAACAAUAAUUAUUCAAAACAGAAGUGUUGGGAGGAUAAAAAGGUGUAAUUCAGGUCCAUUAGUUAGCUGUGGUUCCUGAAGCAUGGGGUAUAUCCAUGCGAAAUGGAAACAACAAUGAAAAACAAACCACAAAGCAAACAAUUCUCUUUACCCCCCAAAUAGGCUCCCUGUUCUUUGUCCUGACAGCAUCUGUCACGGACAUGUUCCUGGCGAAGUUUCUUCCUCCUGCAUGUCCUUCUACUCUUGCUUAUUUUCCUGGAGCGAGAAAUACAAUUGCCCUGCUCACCAUUAGGCUUUGGGCGGACACAGAUAGUCCCGAUAGACUGGCGGUGGCAGGGGCAGGGAUGGUGAGGGAGGGGUCCCGAGCGAGCAGUCCCAUGAGCAAGAGGAAUCCGAUAAGUUAGCCAGGCCGGAAACCCAAAGGGUGGAAGUGAUAGAAGGUCUGAGAGCUGUCCUGUGGGUUUCAGGUGCUUAGCUCAGCUACUGCUCAUCAUCACGACGGGAAUUCUGCCCCCGAGAUGGACACAGGGCAGCAGCUUUGAGGGACUGAACUCCAUUUGGGAGACAGAUAAUUAUAGAAGACUAUCUCUGCUACGUCAAGCAAGUGAGGGCUUGGAACGUUCAGGUUGGGACCACAAUCUAAUCACACAAUCUAUGUAAUUUCACAGGCAUACUGGGAAAUACUGUUUGCACAUAAAAUUAUCCCGUUUAAUCCCUUAAUAACCUUUCAAAGUUUUUAUGGUACUUUGUAGAUCAGGAAAAUGGAGGCCCCGACAGAUUAAAAUCACAUGCUCAAAGUCACAGACAUAAACGAAACCUGGACUGAAAACAAAUCUCAUUGAUUUCAAAGGCUGCCCUGUCCGUGUCCACUAACCACACGAAACUUUACCUAAAUGCAUUUUCACUAUCUCCCCACCCCCUUUAGUUCACUGGUGGAGAUUCACUGGUGAUGAGGUGGCUGUGAUUGCUGUGCUUGAGCAUGGCAGCAGCGUCUGGGUAAGUGAGCAGAUGGUGGCGUGGGGCUGUGUGCAUUUCUGUUCUGUCUGCACCACUCACUGGCCUUGAGACCUUGGGCAAGAGAACAAGAGAACUUCUUUUUGCUUUAUUUUCCUCAUCUGUAAAGUAGGAUGUGUUAGGAUUCCUCAGAGAAAAAGAACCAAUAGGGGUGUGUGUGUGUGUGUGUGUGUGUGUGUGUGUGUGGAGAGGGAGAGAGAGAGAGAAAGAGAGAGAUUAUUUUGUUUUAAGGAAUUGGCUCAAGUGAAAUCUGCAGGGCAGGCCAGCAGGCUGAACACCCAGGAAGAGUUAAUGUUGGAAUUCAAGUCCAUCUACAGCCUGGAGGCACAAUUCCCAUUGGUCUCAGGGGAUACCAGACUAUUUUCUCUCUUUUUUUUUUUUAAAGAUUUAUUCAUUUAUACAAGCACUGGGUACAGUCAGAAGCACGGGAGGGUAAGAGAAUUCACCAGAGCCAGAGCGGGGAGCAGAGCAGGCAGAAGGACCGAAGGACACUGCUGAGGGGAGCAGCGGGCGGCAGGAGAGGUCUGCACGCCAUGUGGGACCCUCGCCGGCGGCCGGGGAUCAAACUGGCGCUGCAGAGGCUGCGGGCAGCCGCGCAGCCCAGCGCUCAACCACUGCGCCACCAGGGGAGGCCCAGACUAUUUUCUCUUAGGACCUGCAACUGAUUGAACAAGGCCCACCCAUGUGGACUCUCUAUGGAGAGUCAUCUGCCUUCCUCAGUCUAAAAUUUCAAUGUUAAUGUCAUCCAGAAAGUACCUUCAUAAUCAUAUCUAGCCUGGUAUUUGAGCAAGUAUCAGGGCUCCAUGGCCUAGCUGAGUUGACGCGUAAAAUUAACCACGGCAUGGGGCUAAUAGGCUCUACUGUCUAAGGUUGAUGUGAGGCAUGAAUGAGCUGUUAUGUAUAAAGAGAACUUACCUGACAUGAUUGCUCUGGCCCCAGAAAUGGACAUGCUCUCUCCUUUUGCUCAGCCUCAGGAGCAGCUGAGGACAGCGGCCUGAAAUCACAGGCACGAAUUCCACUGAGAGAAUCUUUGUUGUUGUUUAUUCUCGUAGCAAGAAGCAAACACAUUGCUCUUUAAUUUUCCUUGGCAGGGGCUGUGGCGAGAGUGGAUGCCAGCCCCGUGCUGGGCCCGGGCGGUGUGCACCCCCACCUCCUUCUCCAGCCUCAGCUCCAGUCAUAAAACCAACACUCGGAGUGUUAAGGCUGCAGCGGAGCGGGGCUGGCUGGGCCAGGCAGGGGCCUGAGUAGACAGACUUUGAACACCGGGCCCUCGGCUUGCUCUGGAGGUCGCACCCUCCUCUCUGCCAGCGCAGGGAGCCCUCCGCAAGGCCUGGCACCAGCAGAAGCACUGGAUACAGCCAGAAGCGCGGGAGGGUGAGAGAAUUCACCAGAGCCAGAGCGGGGAGCAGAGCAGGCAGAAGGACCGAAGGACACUGAGGGGAGCAGCGGGCGGCAGGAGAGGACUAUGUCAUCAUCCCAAAC